rnacentral:snoRNA from 1 species
CAGAUCAUACUUUUAGGGAUCAUUUCUAUAGUAUGUAUCGCAAGGAAUUUCGGUAAAUCUGAAAUCCCAGCAUUCAAUCACGAUGACGAUUUGAAGCAAGAUUUCCUGAGCGUGAA